rnacentral:rRNA from 1 species
UACGUAGGGAGCGAGCGUUGUCCGGAAUCAUUGGGCGUAAAGCGCGCGUAGGUGGUCUUGUAAGUCCGCUGUGAAAGUCAAAGGCUCAACCUUUGAAAGCCGGUGGAUACUGCGAGACUAGAGUGCGGAAGAGGCGAGUGGAAUUCCUGGUGUAGCGGUGGAAUGCGCAGAUAUCAGGAGGAACACCAAUAGCGAAGGCAGCUCGCUGGGACGUUACUGACACUGAGGCGCGAAAGCGUGGGGAGCGAACAGG